UUUCACGAGACAGUGGAGCCAUGUUGGGAGCCUACAUCUUUUGUUCUUUUCUGCUGCUUCCCCGACUCCAGCUCUCCCUGCCUGGCCAGGGGCUCCUCCCUGCUGCCCACUGUCUGCGGCCACCCUGGGACCUGAUCUGGGAGCAGGGGAGAGGGCCACAGACCACCUAGGCCUUCCCCUACCCCCUUGCUCUCCCUGCUUGGACGUGCCGUCCAGACCCAUAGGACCGUGACCCCAACCUCACCGUGCAGCCAGGCGCCGGCCAGCUCUGUCCCUCUGUUCCAGCUGCAGCGGUGAGGCUGGCCUUCCCUCCCCUGGGCCAGACCCAGGGCCUCCUCCAGAAAGGGAACCAGAAACCCACCAGUUCGAGCCAAGUCCUCAGCCUUCAGGCCCCCAACCCCUGGCCGGGCAGCCGGAGCCCCCUGAUGUGGAGGGGCCCUGGGUGCCCCGGAGUUCUGGAAAGACAUCAGCCCUUGGUGUUCGGUUUGGAGCCCAGGGCUGCUGCUGGUCGGUUGGACAGUCUCCGGUGCUGCCAACUCCUCCUCCUCAGGUUUGCAGGACACGGGUGUUGGUGGCGAGGCAGGAGGGGUAGCUGAGGCCCAGAGCGGAAGACACGGGUGGGGGGGUGACCGGACACAGCCGAAGCCCUGGGAUGAGAAGCCAACCCCCUCCCCAUGCCUGUCCCUCCGUUGGCACCGUCGGCAGCCAAGGUCAAGUCCUGCUGGCUGCUCUUCCUGCUCAGGGCUGCAGCCUCUCACCACUGGCCCCACGCUGCCCCGAGUGGGGCCCGGAAGGAAGACUUGGUAGAAAAUGAGGUGCCCCCCACUUCUCCACCCCCCAUCUUCCUGCAGACUUGCUCCCUCGCUGCGGUGGGUGCGGCGGCUCGCGGGCUCACGGACUCGGACGUGGUGGAUGCUUCUCAGUUUGGAAACGGCAGAAGCUUUCACUACAACAGAAACAGAAAGGCAGGACUUGCAGCUCUCCACCCCUCCUCAGGUACCUGUCACUGUAGGCGGCUGCAGCUGCUGCUGGCUGAGCGUAUCUGUAGGCGGCAUAGCCUCCCUGCAAGGGAUACAGGAGACCCACCCAUGGCCCCCAUCAUACAACUGACACCUUGUGAAAUGGAGAAGACACGCCUGGCUCGUCGUGCUGCGGGGAAUCCUUUACUGCUGCCACCCUGA
rnacentral:lncRNA from 1 species